UACGUAGGCAGCAAGCGUUUGUUCGGAGUUACUGGGCGUAAAGAGUGCGUAGGCGGUGUCGAAAGUUUGGCGUGAAAUCUCCCGGCUUAACUGGGAGGGUGCGCCGAAAACUUCGACGCUGGAGUGUGGGAAAGGCAAGCGGAAUUCCUUGGUGUAGCGGUGAAAUGCGUAGAUAUCAGGAGGAACACCGGCGGUGUAGACGGCUUGCUAGACCAUAACUGACGCUGAGGCACGAAAGCGUGGGGAGCAAACAGG
rnacentral:rRNA from 1 species